ensembl:misc_RNA 7SK 7SK RNA
AAAUGUGACAGUCAUCUGGCUGCAACAUGUCACUUCCACUGAUCGCCAAGGUUGAUUUGGCUGAUUUGGCUGUCGAGGUGGGUCUCCCUCCCUCCCUCACCACCCUCAGUGUCCCUUCUGAAGCUGCACUUCUGGCCAAAGAUAACCUUUCCUGAUAGAGGACCACUGUUCUCACGUCAAGGGUAUAUUAUAGCUGUGUUCUCCUGCUAGAACCUCUCAAAAGCUCUCCAAUUAGGCCAGUAGUUGGCAAAUAUCAUUGUAGAAGCCGGGCUGAAGGCAAUAGGAAGGGGUUCAAAUAGACAUAACAGUUUCAAGGAGAAGGCCCUUU